GACGUAGGGCGCGAGCGUUGUCCGGAUUUAUUGGGCGUAAAGAGCUCGUAGGCGGUUUGUCGCGUCUGCUGUGAAAACUCGGGGCUUAACCCCGGGCCUGCAGUGGGUACGGGCAGACUAGAGUGCGGUAGGGGAGACUGGAAUUCCCGGUGUAGUGGUGAAAUGCGUAGAUAUCGGGAGGAACACCAGUGGCGAAGGCGACUACCUGGCCUGUUCUUGACGCUGAGGCGCGAAAGCUAGGGGAGCAAACGGG
rnacentral:rRNA from 1 species